ensembl:snRNA U6 U6 spliceosomal RNA
GUGCUCACUUCAGCAGCACAUAUAGUAAAAGUGGAAUGAUAAAGAGAAGAUUAGCAUGGCCCCUGGGCAAGUAUGACAUGCAAAUUCAUGAAGGCUUCCAUAUUUUU